UGUUAGAGAACAGAAAGAAAAGAAAAAAUAGGCACAUAAUCACUUUCUUCUUUCUUCUUCUCUGUUUUUUCUUUGAAGAGAAACAUCAUAAGAAAAAGAAACAGUGAAAGUGAAAGAAGAAGAAGGAAAAGAAAAGGAAAGAAAGUGGUUACGAUUUCCCUAAUGUAAUGCAUCAUAAGAAAUCCGAACUUCAGAUCGGAAAAGAAAGCACCGGCGUCUCUUCCGAUUUCAACCCGCUCCGCCACCACCCCAACCACCACCACCACCACCCUAUCCCCAACCUCAACCUCCAAACCCAAACCUCAACAGUCCCCUAUAAAAGACCCUCCCUCUGCAAAUCCCCAAUCCUCAACAGAUUUCCAAAACCGUGCCGCGCCACCGUUCCCUCCGCCGCCGCCACCACCUGGGUGUCCUCCGUCGUCUCCCUCCGUUGCCGCCUACGCCUCUUAAUCUUCUUCUCCCUACCCUUCUUCUACUUCCUUGUCUCCCACCCUACAAACUCCUUCAUCCUUGAUUUCCUCGCCGCGUUCUUCUUCUCCGCCGCGCUCUUCUUCUCGGUCAGCCUCGCCCUGCCGCGAAUCCCCUCCAUCCGCUUCUUCCUCAAGCCCGAGGCCCGGCCCGCGCUGAAGUUACCCGUGUUCUGGGCCCGCCCGGCCCAGCCCGAGUUUCAAUUCUGCGUGGUUGCGUACCCGAACGGCGACGUUUACGAGGGGGAGUUCAGAAGAGGGAAGUGUUGUGGGAGUGGGGUUUACUACUACAGCAUGAGUGGGAGGUAUGAGGGGGAUUGGGUGGAGGGGAAGUACGAUGGGUUUGGGGUGGAGACGUGGGCGAAGGGGAGUAGGUACCGGGGGCAGUACCGCCAGGGUCUUCGGCACGGGUUCGGGGUGUACCGGUUUUACACCGGCGAUGUUUAUGCCGGGGAGUGGGCCAGUGGGCAGAGUCACGGCUGUGGGGUGCACACGUGCGAGGAUGGCAGCAGGUACGUGGGGGAGUUCAAGUGGGGCGUCAAGCAUGGCCUUGGACACUAUCAUUUUAGAAAUGGAGAUACAUAUGCUGGUGAAUACUUUGCGGAUAAGAUGCAUGGAUAUGGGGUAUAUAGUUUUGCAAAUGGCCAUUGUUAUGAAGGAUCCUGGCAUGAAGGCAAAAGGCAAGGAAUUGGAAUGUAUGCAUUUAGAAAUGGAGAAACCCAGUCUGGUCACUGGCAAAAUGGAGUCAUUGACACUCCCAGCUCACAGAGUGCCACCUAUCCUAUUUCUCCUGUUGGUGUCAAUCAUUCCAGAGUACUAAAUGCAGUGCAGGAAGCAAGAAGAGCAGCUAAGAAGGCCUAUGAUGUGGCCAAGGUAGAUGAAAGGGUGAAUAGAGCAGUAACAGCAGCUAACAGAGCAGCCAAUGCAGCUAGAGUAGCUUCUGUCAAGGCUGUCCAAAAUCAAAUGCAUCAUAAUGUCAACAGCAAGAGCAUUCCAAUCCCCAUUGUGUGAGGCUAUCAGCUGAAACUUUUGUUACAGUAGAAAUGCUCGAGAUUGUUGGAAAAUGUCGAUAUUUUUAACUGAGCCAUUUACACUGCCAUUGUCACCACUGGCUGAGAGCAAGCAUAUUUAUUAUCCUCUGCCAUAAGUCAUAGGGGGAGAAAGGGUGAUGGCUUCCACCUGUAAUUCUGAUGUUCAUACAAUUCAGAAUACAGAGCCAAAACAGAGAGAAUGUAACGAAAAGAUCCUCCCAUGAUUUCCCCCCUGCCACCUCAGCCAUUCUGUUACUUCAGGGUGAAGGACGUGUCCUUGUGGGUCCCCAAGUGAUGGGUUUCCACUUCUUCCUCUCAAACCUGGUGGAUUUUCCUACUCUGCUUUGCACUCUUUCUCCUUCAUUCGUAUGAGUAUGGUAUCAGAUAGACGUGUUUAUCAAUCUUCAUUGCUGUUGGUGAUAAUUGAAUAGGGGGCAAUGUGUCUGGGACAUACACAUCAUCAUCAUCAUCUCUUCUCUUGUCACCCUCACGCCAUCUCAUCAUUCCCUUCAUACCAUCAACUCUCCAUCCACGUAUGUUGCCAUAUAUUUUAAGUCUUUUAGCUUCAUCUUAAUUUUACAAUUACAUCACUUUUGUCUACAUUUGUUUGAAUUUUGUAAAAGCUAUUUUGAAUAAAAUUGAGUCUAAAUUAUGAACG